UACGAAGGGGGCUAGCGUUGCUCGGAAUCACUGGGCGUAAAGCGCACGUAGGCGGAUCUUUAAGUCAGGGGUGAAAUCCUGGAGCUCAACUCCAGAACUGCCUUUGAUACUGGCGAACUCGAGGGAGGCAGAGGAAAGUGGAAUUCCCGGUGUAGUGGUGAUAUGCGUAGAUAUCGGGAGGAACACCUGUGGCGAAGGCGGCUUUCUGGGCCUUACCUGACGCUGAGACGCGAAAGCGUGGGGAGCGAACCGG
rnacentral:rRNA from 1 species